rnacentral:rRNA from 1 species
AGCAGCCGCGGUAAUUCCAGCUCCAAUAGCGUAUAUUAAAGUUGUUGCAGUUAAAAAGCUCGUAGUUGAAUUUCGGGAUCAAUUUGCUGGUCGUGCCUUCGGUACGCACUGGUAUUAUUGGUUUCUCCUUUCUGAUGAAUCGCGAUGUCAUUAAUUUGGUGUCGUGGGGAAUCAGGACCGUUACUUUGAAAAAUUAGAGUGUUUAAAGCAGGCUCACGCUUGAAUACAUUAGCAUGGAAUAAUGAAAUAGGACGUUUGAUUCUAUUUUGUUGGUUUCUAGGAUCGACGUAAUAAUUAAUAGGGAUAGUUGGGGGCAUUAGUAUUCAAUUGUCAGAGGUGAAAUUCUUGGAUUUAUUGAAGACUAACUACUGCGAAAGCAUUUGCCAAGGAUGUUUUCAUUAAUCAAGAACGAAAGUUAGGGGAUCGAAGACGAUCAGAUACCGUCGUAGUCUUAACCAUAAACUAUGC